rnacentral:lncRNA from 1 species
CACAAACUUAAGGUUUAGAGUUAAAGGGUGGGGUUUAGGAUUUAGGGUUUAGGGUUUAGGUUUUAGAGUUUAGGGUUUAGAGUUUAGGGUUUAGGGUUUAGGGUUUAGAGUUUAGGGUUUAGGGUUUAGGGUUUAGAGUUUAGGGUUUAGUGUUUAGGGUUUAGAGUUUAGGGUUUAGGGUUUAGAGUUGAGAAAUGAGGUUUUGGGGAUAAGAUUUCAAAUUUUGAAAAAUAAAAAAAUUAAAAUUUUCAAAGGAUAAACUUAUAAAGGUGCUAUUUUGGUCAUUUUAGUUUUUGAGUGCUAUUUUUG